AGUUCCAAUUUCAGGAUUGAAGAGAAUCACCGGUUGUGAUCGGAAUAGUAAACUUCACGCGCCACCGCAGCAAAAGCCGAUUUCUUUUUGCUAUAUUUGUAACAAACAACUCAUUUCUGCAAUGCCCAACAAAACCGGUACACAACGACGCCCCUUUCUUCUCUUCCCCCGUCUCCAUCUCCCCAUUGUCACCCCAGAAAUUGUAUCUUCUAAGAAGAACAAAGAUCAACGAACCCCACCAAAAUUCAUCACAACCCAUUUACACAUCAUGAAAGGGCUUUUCAAACCUAAGACACGAUCGCCGGUGGAGCUCGUCCGGUACGCGCAUGAGCUUCUUCUCUUCAUUGACCGGAACGAGGAGGUUCGUGAACAAAAACGGGCAGAGAAGAUGUCUGAACUGAACAAAACCAUCUCACAAAUGAGAACGGUUCUUUAUGGAAAUGCUGAAGGAGAACCAAGUCCAGAUGCUUGUUCUCAGUUGACUCAAGAGUUCUUCAAGGAGAAUAUGUUUCGCCUUUUUAUCGCUUGCAUUCCGAAGCUGAACUCAGGGCUGCGACAAUGUGCGACUCAUGUUCUUGCCAAUCUGCAGAGGCAACAGGUUAAGUCGCGGAUAAUUGCCUCUGAGUAUUUGGAAAACAACAUGGAUAUUAUGGACAUUCUUAUACCAGGGUACGAAGAUAGCGACAUUGCUUUAACUUAUGGCGCAAUUGCGAGAGAAUGCAUCCGACACCAAUGCGUUGCUAGGUAUGUCCUAGAAUCAGUGCAUAUGAAGAAGUUCUUUGAUUACAUUCAAAAUCCAAUAUUUUACGUAGCAUCAGAUGCUUCUGCAACAUUUAGAAAACUUUUGACAAGGCAUAAGUCUACUGUUGCUGCAUUUCUUACCAAAAAUUAUGACUGGUUCUUCAAAGAGUACAAUAUGCAAUUGCUGGAAUCGACCAAUUACAUCACCAAACGACAUGCUGUGAAGUUGUUGGGCGAUAUACUACUUGAUAAUUCCAACUCAGCUGUGAUGGUUCAAUAUGUGAGCUCAUUAGAUAACAUGAGGAUCUUGAUGAACCUUCUUAGGGAUCCAAACAAGACAAUACAACGAGACGCGUUUGAUGUAUUCAAGCUAUUUGUUGCAAAUAAAAACAAGCCUCCAGAAAUCACUAGUAUACUUGUUGCAAAUAGAACCAAACUCCUUCGUUUUCUCAACGAUCUUAAACCAGAUAAAGUAAAUGAAGGGUUUGAAGAAGAUAAAGCUCAGAUUAUAAGAGAGAUCUCCAUUCUCGAAUCGAGUGAUCCCUCAUCCUCAGAGAUGGAAAACUCAUUUCAUGCCAACACAAGCAGAAAGGUAUGGUGAUAAAAUUACCUAUGUGCCCUGUAAUUUGUUCAGCGAGUGGAGAAAAUUUUCAGGAAAAAAGUUCAUUGACACACAAACCAAAGAGCAGACUGCACUGAAAUCUCAUACUUUCCUAAAAAAAAAAAUUGACACUUGGUACAGUAAAAGAUAGAUGCAACCCGACUACACCUAAUUUUUUUUUUCUCAAUCCAAAUAUGAAAUAUUUUUGGUGACAUUUUCUAUUAAAAAGGUAAGGAGGAAGCAAACGAAAAGCCUAAAAAGGUUUUGAAGUGGAAAUGGAAAGUCGGUUACUCUGUUGGCAUUCAUCUUCUUCUUUGUCAUGCCCCGGCUUGAUCCGAACUCUCCCCACAUUUUACCAAGUAUUCUCGGCCGCGGCCGCCACCGCCACCGCCACCGGGAGGAUCAAUCUUGAAACCGACCAUCCCUCCAAGGAGAAGGAAAAUGAGUUCAACACGGUUGAUUCCCAUGUAUGUAUCUUCUUUUUUUCUUUUUCUUUUUCUUUUGGUUAAACUAUAACAAAAAAAAUGUCUUUCAACUUUGUACUUUCGAUUAAGAAUGUUCUAGACUUUCAAAAAUUUAAGAAAUACCUUAAGAAAUUAUCAAAAAUAACCCUCAAAUGAUUCAUCUUUCACAACAGUUCUUUCUCGAUCGACCAAGAUUCGAAUGAAAAAUUUACUUUGUUUUUAGUCUAUCAUCUAAACUAUCAUUCAAAUAGUUUUUCUCAAUAUAAACACUGAUAUUGCAUAUAAUUUUUAUAAUCUUCCCCAAAUCCUAUAUCAAAUCUUACCUAUUCUUUUCAAAUUUCGAAAAUCUUAAAAAGCCAAUUUCUGUUUUUAUAAUUAUCUUAAUUUUCAAAUGGAUUCAUAAUUAUGCAAAUUGAUUUUCCAACUGUAUAUUGGAGUGAUACACGGAAUUAUCCUUAAAAAAAAAUCAUAGUUUGGAUAUAUUAUAAAAAAAAAUAGAUUUUUAUUCAAAUUUGGAUGGUGUAAUUCUACGAAUUUUCUAAAAGAGGGCUAGUUAAAAACUAUGAGAGGUUUUUGGCAUCUGAACAUUCAAUAUCUCGAGAAUAAAGAGAUUUCUAUGUUGAUGACAUCCUCAUUUUACUUUUGGAUAUAUUAUGUUGAUGGAUCCUAAAUCUUCAUGGACUGUGCAUCUAAAUGAUUGUACUUGUUUUUAUGACAUCCGAAGAUAUCUCGAGAGUGAAAAGAUUUCCAUUAUUGAUGGCAUCCUCUUUUUACGUUUUUGCCCUUCCAAAUGAUUGUGAGAUGUCAUGAUACCGGAAGAAAACUCAAGAGUAAAGACAUAUUCAUUGUUGAUGAUAUUCCCAUUUUACUUUUUGCCCUUCCAUUUCUUAUUUAUGUUUAUAUGUCAUUCUUUUUUAACUGCA